rnacentral:lncRNA from 1 species
GCUAUAUACAGGGUGUUACGGUACAGAGUCAAUGUGUAGACUACAUACAGGGGGUACCGGUACAGAGUCAAUGUGGAGACUAUAUACAGGGUGUUACGGUACGGAGUCAAUGUGGAGACUAUAUACAGGGUGUUACGGUACAGAGUCAAUGUGGAGGCUAUAUACAGGGUGUUACGGUACAGAGUCAAUGUGGAGGCUAUAUACAGGGGGUACUGGUACAGAGUCAAUGUGGAGACUAUAUACAGGGGUGUUACGGUACAGAGUCAAUGUGGAGACUAUAUACAGGGGGGUACCAGUACAGAGUCAAUGUGGAGACUAUAUACAGGGGGUACCAGUACAGAGUCAAUGUGGAGGCUAUAUACAGGGGGUACCAGUACAGAGUCAAUGUGGAGACUAUAUACAGGGGGUACCAGUACAGAGUCAAUGUGGAGACUAUAUACAGGGGGGUACCAGUACAGAGUCAAUGUGGAGGCUAUAUACAGGGUGUUACGGUACAGAGUCAAUGUGGAGGCUAUAUACAGGGGGUACCGGUACAGA